rnacentral:rRNA from 1 species
UACGUAGGGUGCGAGCGUUGUCCGGAAUUACUGGGCGUAAAGAGCUCGUAGGUGGUUUGUCGCGUUGUUCGUGAAAACUCACAGCUCAACUGUGGGCGUGCGGGCGAUACGGGCAGACUGGAGUACUGCAGGGGAGACUGGAAUUCCUGGUGUAGCGGUGGAAUGCGCAGAUAUCAAGAGGAACACCGGUGGCGAAGGCGGUUCUCUGGGCAUUACCUGACGCUGAGGAGCGAAAGUGUGGGGAGCGAACAGG